UGGGGAAUUUUGGACAAUGGGGGAAACCCUGAUCCAGCCAUCCCGCGUGUGCGAUGAAGGCCUUCGGGUUGUAAAGCACUUUUGGCAGGAAAGAAACGUCAUGGGUUAAUACCCCGUGAACCUGACGGUACCUGCAGAAUAAGCACCGGCUAACUACGUGCCAGCAGCCGCUGUAAUACGUAGGGUGCAAGCGUUAAUCGGAAUUACUGGGCGUAAAGCGUGCGCAGGCGGUUCGGAAAGAAAGAUGUGAAAUCCCAGAGCUCAACUUUGGAACUGCAUUUUUAACUGCCGGGCUAGAGUGUGUCAGAGGGAGGUGGAAUUCCGAGGGUAGCAGUGAAAUGCGUAGAUAUGCGGAGGAACACCGAUGGCGAAGGCAGCCUCCUGGGAUAACACUGACGAUCAUGCACGAAAGCGUGGGGAGCAAACAGG
rnacentral:rRNA from 1 species